rnacentral:rRNA from 1 species
UACGUAGGGUGCGAGCGUUAAUCGGAAUUACUGGGCGUAAAGCGUGCGCAGGCGGUUCGUCGUGUCCGAUGUGAAAGCCCCGGGCUCAACCUGGGAAUGGCAUUGGAAACUGGCGGACUCGAGUGUGGCAGAGGGGGGUGGAAUUCCGGGUGUAGUGGUGAAAUGCGUAGAGAUCCGGAGGAACACCAGUGGCGAAGGCGACACGCUGGGCCAUACCUGACGCUAAAGCGCGACAGCAUGGGGAGCAAACGGG